rnacentral:lncRNA from 1 species
AUGGAGCGCCGGAUAAAUUCCCUGGCUUCUGCUUCAGCCCCUGGCUUCUGUCCCAGUCCUGGCCUUUGUAGCCAUCUCAGGGGUGAACCCCCAGAUGGACGAUCACUCAGAGAGAGAGAGAGAGCACGCGAGCUGGCGAUGCCCCCUGCACUGCUUCUCUCCCCAAGCGGCUGCAAUGAAUGGCCAGCGCUGGGCCAGGCAGGAGGCAGGAGACAGGAGGCAGGAGACAGGAGGCAGGAGGCAGGAGGCAGGAGGCAGGAGGCAGGAGGUCCAUUGAGGACUCCCACGAGGCAUGGAGGUGGGGUCCAGAGAACCUGGGCCAUCAGCAUCUGGGUCCCUGGUAGCAGCCUGGAGAGGCUGGAGUGGAAGCGGCCCUGGGGCUUAGGAUGCUGGAUGCAGCAGUGUGCAGAUGCGUCCUGGGGUGCCAUGGUGACAGCCCAUGUGGAGUGCGCCUGCGCCUGGUGCUAUGACCCGGAAGUGCACCCACACGCUUGGCGCCAACUGCCCCGCGGUGCUCCGCUGGGAGUCAGCGCCGCAUCUGCUUCUGCCCGAAACCUGCACAAGCCACAUGGAGAGGAGCCGUUCUCGACGCGGCUGGCUGAGCUUGAGGGAGACCCAGCAACCCCAGGGUCAGGCCAGCAUCAGAGAGGCUGUAUGUGCGAGGCUGCCGCACCGUUUCCCAGGUGCAUUGCUCUUCUUUGGCCCCUUCGGGAAGCAACGGCCCUCACGGACCUCUGUGCCCCGAGCAGACUGGGCCCCCUUGGAGUGUUUGAAGGUAAAAUCCCCACUUUGGGAGACCCAGAAAAAUUACUGGCUCCUGGCUUUGGGUUGCCCCAGCUCCAGCCAUUGUGUCAAUUUUGGAUCGAAGACCCCUCCCUCUGCUUCUAUAUCUCUGCAACUCUGCCUUUCAAAUAAAUGCAUAAAAUUUUUAAAAGAAAAGAUUGUCAGUAGUUUUAUCAUUAGAAACAACAUAUGCUACAAGAGAACGGAGAAAUUCUUUGAAGUACUGAAAGAUAAAGAGUGUCAGCAUAGAAUUCUUUGCACAGUGAAUGUAUCUUUCCAAUGUGAGAGUGAAAUAAAGACUCUAGACAUAGAAUCA